GCUAGCUGGAGGCUGAACAAUAAGC
rnacentral:piRNA from 1 species